AGCGAACGCUGGCGGCAGGCUUAACACAUGCAAGUCGAGCGGGCAUCCUUGUGGUGUCCGCGGCAGACGGGUGAGUAACGCGUGGGAACGUGCCCUUCGGUUCGGAAUAACUCAGGGAAACUUGAGCUAAUACCGGAUACGUGCGAGAGCGGAAAGGUUUAUCUGCCGAAGGAUCGGCCCGCGUCUGAUUAGCUAGUUGGUGAGGUUAUGGCUCACCAAGGCGACGAUCAGUAGCUGGUCUGAGAGGAUGAUCAGCCACACUGGGACUGAGACACGGCCCAGACUCCUACGGGAGGCAGCAGUGGGGAAUAUUGGACAAUGGGGGCAACCCUGAUCCAGCCAUGCCGCGUGAGUGAUGACGGCCUUAGGGUUGUAAAGCUCUUUUCUUCGGGACGAUAAUGACGGUACCGGAGGAAUAAGCCCCGGCUAACUUCGUG
rnacentral:rRNA from 1 species